rnacentral:rRNA from 1 species
GGCGUGCCUAAUACAUGCAAGUCGAGCGAGCGGAAACUAACAGAUUUACUUCGGUAAUGACGGUUAGGAAAAGCGAGCGGCGGAUGGGUGAGUAACACGUGGGGAAAUCUGCCCCCCAUAGUCUGGGGAUACCACUUGGAAACAGGUGCUAAUACGGGGAUAAGAAGCAGAUCGCAUGAUCAGCUUUAAAAAGGCGGCGUAAGCUGUCGCUAUGGGGAUGGCCCCGCGGUGCAUUAGCUAGUUGGUAAGGGUAAAGGGCUUACCCAAGGCGAUGAUGCAUAGCCCGAGUUGAGAGACUGAUCGGGCCACAUUGGGACUGAGACACGGCCAAAACUCCUACGGGAGGCAGCAGUAGGGAAUCUUCCACAAUGGACGCAAGUCUGAUGGAGCAACGCCGCGUGAGUGAAGAAGGUUUCGGAUCGUAAAGCUCUGUUGUUGGUGAAGAAGGAUAGAGGUAGUAACUGGCCUUUAUUUGACGGUAAUCACCAGAAAGUCACGGCUAACUACGUGCCAGCAGCCCGGUAAUA